AUUGAACGCUGGCGGCAUGCCUUACACAUGCAAGUCGAACGGCAGCGGGCCUUCGGGUGCCGGCGAGUGGCGAACGGGUGAGUAAUGCAUCGGAACGUGCCAUUGAGUGGGGGAUAACGUAGCGAAAGUUGCGCUAAUACCGCAUAUUCUGUGAGCAGGAAAGCAGGGGACCGCAAGGCCUUGCGCUCUUUGAGCGGCCGAUGUCAGAUUAGCUAGUUGGUGAGGUAAAGGCUUACCAAGGCGACGAUCUGUAGCGGGUCUGAGAGGAUGAUCCGCCACACUGGAACUGAGACACGGUCCAGACUCCUACGGGAGGCAGCAGUGGGGAAUUUUUGGACAAUGGGGGCAACCCUGAUCCAGCCAUGCCGCGUGAGUGAAGAAGG
rnacentral:rRNA from 1 species